GAGUUUGAUCCUGGCUCAGAACGAACGCUGGCGGCAGGCUUAACACAUGCAAGUCGAACGAAAUCUUCGGAUUUAGUGGCGCACGGGUGCGUAACGCGUGGGAAUUUACCUUUAGGUGCGGAAUAACUCAGAGAAAUUUGUGCUAAUACCGCAUAAUGUCUACGGACCAAAGAUUUAUCGCCUAAAGAUAAGCCCGCGUAAGAUUAGCUAGUUGGUGGGGUAAAGGCCUACCAAGGCGACGAUCUUUAGCUGGUCUGAGAGGAUGAUCAGCCACACUGGGACUGAGACACGGCCCAGACUCCUACGGGAGGCAGCAGUGGGGAAUAUUGGACAAUGGGCGAAAGCCUGAUCCAGCCAUGCCGCGUGAGUGAUGAAGGCCUUAGGGUUGUAAAGCUCUUUUACUAGGGAGAUAAGACAGUACCUGGAAUAGUCCG
rnacentral:rRNA from 1 species